UGAUUUGAGGCAGCUGAGGAACUAAGAGCCCAGGAAGAAAGGACAGUAAUGAAAAAGCCAACAAAUGAGACCAGUAUUUAGUGGUAUUUCCCCUAUAGGCAAUUAUUUAUUCAAAAAUACAGGAACAGCAUUUAUUUGCUUAACUGCAGAUAUGCAAACAAAAAAUUUAAAUGGUCUUAGUUACUAUCUACAUGCAGAUGCUUCCAAUCUUAAUCUCUAGUCAUGACCACUGAUCCUUUUUUGAUUCCUUUAAUUCAAUUUAUAUAUCUCUAAGUGAAUAUCUUGUCAACACUGACAAUCAAGACUAAGAUGUAUUUAUUCUAUUCCAGAUUCUACUCUAAAAGUCACCAGGAAAAAUUCAGCUCCACUGGUCCGGGCUCUAAGUCUACUAGCAAAAUCUUCCAGAGAAGUGGAAAAGCCAUCAGCCAAUGUGUUAGACUAUCAUUUCCAUGACCUUACACCUAUCAAAAAGGCACUAUUACCAGGCUUAUAGAAUUCUAAAAAAGUUGGAAACCAUUUUCCAUUAUAAAAGAAAUUCUUCCAAAUCACACAAAACACUCUGACACUUCUCCAGUUCCCCCUUU
rnacentral:lncRNA from 1 species